rnacentral:rRNA from 2 species
UAAAGAGCCGUUCGAGACUAGGACGUUGAUAGGUUGGAUGUGGAAGCAUAGUGAUAUGUGAAGCUGACCAAUACUAAUUGCUCGUGAGGCUUGACUAUACAACACCCAAGCAGUUG